rfam:Acyrthosiphon pisum strain LSR1 Contig5573, whole genome shotgun sequence.
AAAACGGUCCUUUUCAGGACCAACAACCGAUGAUGACAAUGUAAU